GCAUAUAAGAAAUGCAGUAUAGCUAGGGAAUGACCCCUAGGUCGUCUCUCAAGGACCAAACUGUGGUUCGAGAAUAAGGUCUAACACGAAAAGGGGGGGUUUGAAAUUGCUUUGUGAGGAGAAUUAAACUAAACUAAAACUGGAAAUUAAAUACAACCAAACAUAAUUGAAAAUAUUGAAACAAAGGAACAAAACACUGAAGACCGAACGGUCCCAAGGAUGACCGAACGAUUCUACAUUGAGAUCGAACGGUCUCUAAAACAAGUGAGUAAAUUUGAAAUGCAGGAAGAUAAAGAAGUCGAAUAAAAUAGACAACAUUAAAGUAAGAGAAAUUGCUAAACCUAACACUACAACUAAUAAAUAUCCAAACAUAAUUAAAGUUAUCAAAAUUACAACAAGGAAGCUAAACAUUAAAACUAACUCAUCAUGGUAAUAAUGCAAAUAAAAGGUAUUAAAAGAAAACAAAGAAACUAAUAUGUUGCUCCAUCUUUUAUCACUGGCCGUGAGGUAUUGAAAGAAAAAUUUAAGUACUUCCA
rnacentral:lncRNA from 1 species